rnacentral:rRNA from 1 species
UACGGAGGGGGCUAGCGUUGUUCGGAAUUACUGGGCGUAAAGCGCACGUAGGCGGCUUUGUAAGUUAGAGGUGAAAGCCCAGGGCUUAACCCUGGAAUUGCCUUUAAGACUGCAUCGCUAGAAUUGUGGAGAGGUGAGUGGAAUUCCGAGUGUAGAGGUGAAAUUCGUAGAUAUUCGGAAGAACACCAGUGGCGAAGGCGGCUCACUGGUCCGGUACUGACGCUGAGGUGCGAAAGCGUGGGGAGCAAACAGG